GCCGGGGUGGCGGAAUUGGAAGACGCGUUGGACUUAAAAUCCAAUGUCCGUUAAAUCGGACGUGCGGGUUCGAUCCCCGCUCCCGGCA
rnacentral:tRNA from 1 species